GAUGAACGCUGGCGGCAUGCCUAAUACAUGCAAGUCGAACGAGAGGAAGGAAAGCUUGCUUUUCUGAAUCUAGUGGCGAACGGGUGAGUAACACGUAGGUAACCUGCCCAUGUGCCCAGGAUAACUUCUGGAAACGGAUGCUAAAACCGGAUAGGUAGCAGACAAGCAUCUGACUGCUAUUAAAGUGGCUAAGGCCAUGAACAUGGAUGGACCUGCGGUGCAUUAGCUAGUUGGCGGGGUAACGGCCCACCAAGGCGACGAUGCAUAGCCGGCCUGAGAGGGCGGACGGCCACAUUGGGACUGAGACACGGCCCAAACUCCUACGGGAGGCAGCAGUAGGGAAUUUUCGUCAAUGGGGGGAACCCUGAACGAGCAAUGCCGCGUGAGUGAGGAAGGUCUUCGGAUCGUAAAGCUCUGUUGUAAGAGAAAAACGACAUUCAUAGGGAAUGAUGAGUGAGUGAUGGUAUCUUACCAGAAAGUCACGGCUAACUACGUGCCAGCCGCCGCAGUAA
rnacentral:rRNA from 1 species